ACUUAAAUAGUUUAAAUCAAAAUUUUGAUUUGUGGUAUCAAAGAUAUGUUGUGGCAUUUUAGGUU
rnacentral:tRNA from 1 species